rnacentral:lncRNA from 1 species
AGUUUACAAGCACAACAGCUAAAAAUAAAUCCAGUUAUAGCACAAGUCAAAUCCCAAAUGAUCAUAGUCUCCUUCUUCCUCUGUUCCUUCUAGGAUUCAACAGCUCCUGGAAAACUCUUCAGGCUUAGAAACUGCUUUGUUUUGAACUUUAACUAGCUCAGUGUCUCUUAUCCACCCCUUGCAAAAGCUGCCAUCUCUACCCCAUAAAAGCUGAUCACUUCGCUGUUGCACCCUCCACUCCAAUAAUGGAUAUUUUCUAAACUUGUGUCCUUAAACCUUAUAACCUUUAAAUCAACUUCAGUGAAAAUUAGGAAAAAUUUAUUGGGAGAAAGAAAGCUUCUGCCUAAGAGAGACAGAAGGGGGAGUGGAAAAUGGGUUAAUUGUCCUCCAUGUUGGCUCCUUGACUGUCCUCCAG